GUUCUGGCUUCAGCAGCACAUAUACUAAAAUUGGAACGAAGCAGAGAAGAUUAGCCUGGCCCCUGUGCAAGGAUGACAUGCAAACUCAUGAAGCAUUCCAUAUUUUG
rnacentral:snRNA from 1 species